GUCUGCGCCUGCGCGCAAGAGAGGCGGGGCCAGCGCUCGGCAUGGCGGAGCCAGAUCUGGAGUGCGAGCAGAUCCGUCUGAAGUGUAUUCGGUCUAGCGCUCUCGCCCAGGCUGGAAUGCAGUGGCGUGAUCACGGCUCAGUGCAUCGUCAGCCUCCUGGGCUCAAGUGAUCUUCCUGCCUCGGCCUCCCAAGUGCUGGAAUUACAGGCGUGAGCCACCGCCCCCAGCCUGGCCUGGCAUUUCUUUGAGUUCAGGAAGUGUGACAAGGAUUUGGACACCCAGAAAUAAGCGUGUCGAGAAGAGCACAAGCAGAGGAUCUGGGACGAUGCCGGAGUGUGAAGGAGUUUGAGAAGCUGAACCGCAUUGGAGAGGGUACCUACGGCAUUGUGUAUCGGGCCCGGGACACCCAGACAGAUGAGAUUGUCGCACUGAAGAAGGUGCGGAUGGACAAGGAGAAGGAUGGCAUCCCCAUCAGCAGCUUGCGGGAGAUCACGCUGCUGCUCCGCCUGCGUCAUCCGAACAUCGUGGAGCUGAAGGAGGUGGUUGUGGGGAACC
rnacentral:lncRNA from 1 species